rnacentral:misc_RNA from 1 species
GAAAUGCGAUAAGUAAUGUGAAUUGCAGAAUCAGUGAAUCAUCGAAUCUUUGAACGCACCUUGCGCUCCUUGGUAUUCCUUGGAGCAUGUCUGUUUGAGUAUCAUGAAAUCUUCAAAGUAAAUCUUUUGUUAACUCAAUUGGUUUCUACUUUGGUAUUGGAGGUCUUUGCAGCUUCACACCUGCUCCUCUUUGUUCAUUAGCUGGAUCUCAGUGUUAUGCUUGGUUCCACUCGGCGUGAUAAGUUAUCUAUCGCUGAGGACACUGUAAAAGGUGGCCAAGGUAAAUGCAGAUGAACCGCUUCUAAUAGUCCAUUGACUUGGACAAUACUUUUAUGAUCUGAUCUCAAAUCAGGUAGGACUACCCGCUGAACUUAAGC